CCUACGGGGUGCACCAGUGGGGAAUAUUGCACAAUGGGCGCAAGCCUGAUGCAGCCAUGCCGCGUGUGUGAAGAAGGCCUUCGGGUUGUAAAGCACUUUCAGCGGGGAGGAAGGCGAUAAGGUUAAUAACCUUGUCGAUUGACGUUGCCCGCAGAAGAAGCACCGGCUAACUCCGUGCCAGCAGCCGCGGUAAUACGGAGGGUGCAAGCGUUAAUCGGAAUUACUGGGCGUAAAGCGCACGCAGGCGGUCUGUCAAGUCGGAUGUGAAAGCCCCGGGCUCAACCUGGGAAGGGCAUUCGAAACUGGCAGGCUAGAGUCUUGUAGAGGGGGGUAGAAUUCCAGGUGUAGCGGUGAAAUGCGUAGAGAUCUGGAGGAAUACCGGUGGCGAAGGCGGCCCCCUGGACAGAUACUGACGCUCAGGUGCGAAAGCGUGGGGAGCAAACAGGAUUAGAUACCCGUGUAGUC
rnacentral:rRNA from 1 species